CAAAAAUUAAUAAAAAAAAAUCUGCCAUCCAAAAGUAUGUUUUCCCUUACCUGUGAGGAGAUCCUUGCUACUUACAACGUGACAAAUAUGACUUCUGACAAUUCAGAAUCAUCAGAAAGUAAAGGAGACAAAGCCUUUAGGUCUUAUAAAUUUCAGAUCUAUCAAAGUAAAUUAAACUAUUAUACAAUAGUGAAUAAAGACAUUAUAGAGAAUUUUUGAAAGUGAUGAAAAAGAUAUUCAGUCAGAAAGUGGAAGACAGGAAUUGUAGGGCUGGACAGAAUGAUUAAGUUGAAUUGUUGUGUAGGUCAGAACAAUUUUUAACGAAGCUAAGGUAAAGAAACAAACUACAUGAAGCCCAGUGGUGAAAGCACUGAGAGAAAAAAAGGAUGAAAUUACACCAAAGCUCGCCAAAAAACAAAUAAGGUCAAAACUAACAGUUACAGUGAUAAACUUGUCAAAUAAAUAGUAUUAUUAUUAUUAAUAAAAUAAUAAUAUUUUAUUAUUUAUUUAUUAUUUAUUAUUUAUUUUUAUUAUUUUUUUCUUAUAACUAAAUCUCAAAGCUUUCACAAACAGACUCUUAAAUUUACCUAUACCAGGUACUUUAUAUUGUGUCUUGAAUAAUCUCCACUGAGCUUACUGUGCUCUGACUUGAGUCAAGGUCUUUGUUAUAGAUGUUGUGAUUUAUGAAAUAUCCGUACUACCUAUUGGUCUUUGAAAUAUGGUUACAUUAACCUACACUUGAAUUUCUCCAAACUCUGCACCUUUCCUUUCCAUUAUUAUAAAACAAACUUAUGCUUUAAGUUUAUGAUAUUUAUGAACAUCUUUUUUGAAUUGAAUGCAUUUUUUUACCUUUUUCCAGAAAUUUCAAAAUAUUUCUAGCCAAAGUCUGGUGGACGCCAUCAAUGACUGUUACGAUGGCUACUUCCAGGAGCUGCUGGUUGCAAUUGUCUCAACGGAUACCACAGGGACAUCUGUUGGGGAGGCUCCAGGCUAUUUAAAUCCACGUUCACUGUGACCAGGAGAAAGCAAGCUAUUUUGCGUAUAAAUGAUACAGGGCAAGCCAUAAUUUUGCUUCAUUGCCCUAUGAGAAAGCACUGGUUGCCAUACGUGCUGGUGAUGUGGAAGACUACUAAAAUAAAUAAAGAAUGGGAGGCCUUACAGGUCUUGCAACCCUCUUUAUAGUCAUCUCAGGUACAGACUGUGGAACCUGCGCUGUUAUUGACACUGAAAUACAACUGUAGAAUCAUAUUUUUUUAUUGAUAAAAUUAUUAGGAGAAAAACAUCUAAUGUUAAAAAUAUGUAAUCUUGCUUUUGCACCCCUCCCUCAAUUGGUAAUUAAUUAAAUUGUGUGUGGUGGAAUAAGAAAA